rnacentral:rRNA from 1 species
UAGGGAAUCUUCGGCAAUGGACGAAAGUCUGACCGAGCAACGCCGCGUGAGUGAAGAAGGUUUGCGGAUCGUAAAACUCUGUUGUUAGAGAAGAACAAGGACGUUAGUAACUGAACGUCCCCUGACGGUAUCUAACCAGAAAGCCACGGCUAACUACGUGCCAGCAGCCGCGGUAAUACGUAGGUGGCAAGCGUUGUCCGGAUUUAUUGGGCGUAAAGCGAGCGCAGGCGGUUUCUUAAGUCUGAUGUGAAAGCCCCCGGCUCAACCGGGGAGGGUCAUUGGAAACUGGGAGACUUGAGUGCAGAAGAGGAGAGUGGAAUUCCAUGUGUAGCGGUGAAAUGCGUAGAUAUAUGGAGGAACACCAGUGGCGAAGGCGGCUCUCUGGUCUGUAACUGACGCUGAGGCUCGAAAGCGUGGGGAGCACACAGG